AUUAUUGGAGCCCAGGAAGCACAGUCACUCAUCUGGGUCUGUGGGAGAUGGUGGUAGGGAGGAGGGGCUGCCUCUGGGUCAGAGAGAGGAGCAACACCCUGGAGUCUCCUCUCUUCCUGCCUCCAGGCUCCUCCCAGCGCUAUCCAUUGGCUCGACCCAACCUAAAGUCCAUCUCCCAGCAAGAAGUCUGCAAAAGGUGGUUUGCAAGAAUCAACACCCUGUGAUUCACAGCGCAGUAGAGGAGGAACAGGGGCUGGAUGAGGGAAAAGAGCAACUCACCAGCACACAGAGGGUUCCUGUGAACACCUCGGUUGAGAUUACAUCCUGAACUACCACACAGUAUACAAUCAGUGAAUGAUAUGCGCCCAGGAGUGGGAUUGCUGGAUCAUAUGGAGAUGCAAGAGAUGUGGGUUCAAUCCCUGGCUCAAGAGGAUCCCCUGAAGGAGAACAUGGCAACCCACUGCAGUAUUCUUGCCUGGAGAAUCCCCAUGGACAGAGGAGCUUGGCAGGCUACAGUCCACAGGGUCGCAGAGAGUCGGACAUGACUGAAGCAACUUAGCAGGCACUCAUGCAAGUACUUGCUGCUAUAUUGAUAAUGGAUAAUCAACAAGGACUUACUUUAUUGCACAGGGAAUUCCGCUCAUUGUUAUGUAUCAGGCUGGAUGGGAGGGGAGUUUGGGGGAGAAUGGAUCCAUUUAUAUGUAUGGCUGAGUCACUUUGCUGUCCAUCUGAAACUAUUGCAGCGUUUUUCAUCAGCUACACUCCAAUAUAAAAUAAAGUGUUUAAAAAAUAAAAAAAUGGGAGGUGGGAGAGGGGUUCAGGAUGGGGAACACAUGUACACCCAUGGCAGAUUCAUGUCAAUGUAUGGCAAAACCAAUACAAUAUUGUAAAGUAAUUAGCCUCCAAUUUAAAUAAAUUUAUAUUAAAAUAUGACAUAUAUUUUAUUUAUAUAUAAGCUUAUACAUAUUUUACAAUGAAAUAUAUUAAUUCCAUAACAAAAAGGUUAAAAUAUUCGUUAUGAUUAGAAUAGAUAUCAAUCUUUGUUAGAAACAUUUAAGAAGCAUGCAAACUGGCAUCUGUCUGGGGUGAUGGCUGUCCCACCUGCCUAGGGAAGACCUCCAAAGCUUUC
ensembl:lncRNA